AUUGAACGCUGGCGGCAGGCCUAACACAUGCAAGUCGAACGGUAACACGAUACGGCUUUCUGUUUCGCUGACGAGUGGCGGGCGGGUGAGACAUGUCUAUCAAACUCCCUGAUUUCGGGGGAUAUCUCGUGGAAACGGUUACUACUACAUCAUAACGUCGCAAGCCCAGAGAGGGGGGGAUUCUGGCCUCUUGCCCUCGUGUAUGCCCAGAUGGGAUUUGCUAGUAGGUGGGGUAACGGCUCACCUAGUCGACGAUCUGUAGCGGGUCUGAGAGGAUGACCAGCCACACUGGAACUGAGACACGGUCCAGACUCCUACGGGAGGCAGCAGUGGGGAAUAUUGCACAAUGGGCGCAAGCCUGAUGCAGCCAUGCCGCGUGUAUGAAGAAGGCCUUCGGGUUGUAAAGUACUUUUAGCGGGGAGGAAGGGAGUAAAGUUAAUACCUAGACUGAUUGACGGUACCCGAAGAAGAAGCACCGGCUAACUCCGUG
rnacentral:rRNA from 1 species